GACGAACGCUGGCGGCGCGCUUAACACAUGCAAGUCGAGCGAAGCGGCGGACGGGUGAGUAACACGUGAGUAACCUGCCUUAGACAUUGGGAUAGCCUCGGGAAACCGGGAUUAAUACCAAAUGGUCUAAGAUGGACUCGCGUCCCAUUAGCUAGUUGGUGGGUAACGGCCCACCAAGGCGACGAUGGGUAGCCGGGCUGAGAGGGAGAGCGGAGACAUUUGAACUGAGAAACAGGCCAGAAUCUACGGGAGGCAGGAGGGGGGAAUAUUGCAAAAUGGAGGGAACUCUGAUGGAGCGAGGCGGGUGAAACGAAGAAGGCUUUCGAGUCGUAAAGUUCUUUUAUAUGGGAAGCGGUACCAUAAGAAAAAGCCCCGGCUAACUACGUGCCAGCAGCCGCGGUAAUAC
rnacentral:rRNA from 1 species